rnacentral:rRNA from 1 species
GACGAACGCUGGCGGCGUGCUUAACACAUGCAAGUCGAACGCAGUGGCGAACUGGUGAGUAACGCGUAAUCAACCUGCCCUUCAGCGGGGGACAACAGUUGGAAACGACUGCUAAUACCGCAUACUGAAGGAGGGGAUUGCGUCUGAUUAGCUAGGUGGAGGGGGAACGGCCAACCAAGGCGAUGAUCAGUAGCCGGGCUGAGAGGAUGAACGGCCACAUUGGGACUGAGACACGGCCCAGAAUCCUACGGGAGGCAGCAGGGGGGAAUCGUCCGCAAUGGACGAAAGUCUGACGGAGCAACGCCGCGUGAGGGAUGACGGCCUUCGGGUUGUAAAGCUCUGUUAAUCGGGACGCGGUACCGGAAUAGAAAGCCACGGCUAACUACGUGCCAGCAGCCGCGGUAAUUC